UACAAUCCUACGGGAGGCAGCAGUGGGGAAUAUUGGACAAUGGGCGCAAGCCUGAUCCAGCCAUGCCGCGUGAGUGAUGAAGGCCCUAGGGUUGUAAAGCUCUUUCACCGGAGAAGAUAAUGACGGUAUCCGGAGAAGAAGCCCCGGCUAACUUCGUGCCAGCAGCCGCGGUAAUACGAAGGGGGCUAGCGUUGUUCGGAAUUACUGGGCGUAAAGCGCACGUAGGCGGAUCGAUCAGUCAGGGGUGAAAUCCCAGGGCUCAACCCUGGAACUGCCUUUGAUACUGUCGAUCUGGAGUAUGGAAGAGGUGAGUGGAAUUCCGAGUGUAGAGGUGAAAUUCGUAGAUAUUCGGAGGAACACCAGUGGCGAAGGCGGCUCACUGGUCCAUUACUGACGCUGAGGUGCGAAAGCGUGGGGAGCAAACAGGAUUAGAAACCCUAGUAGUCCCAUG
rnacentral:rRNA from 1 species